rnacentral:rRNA from 1 species
ACACCUACGGGCGGCUGCAGUAGGGAAUCUUGCGCAAUGGGCGAAAGCCUGACGCAGCAACGCCGCGUGAGGGACGAAGGCUUUCUGAGUUGUAAACCUCUUUCGACAGGAACGAUUGUGACGGUACCUGUAGAAGAAGCACCGGCCAACUAUGUGCCAGCAGCCGCGGUGAUACAUAGGGUGCGAGCGUUACUCGGAUUUAUUGGGCGUAAAGAGCUCGUAGGCGGUUCGAUAAGUCGGGUGUGAAACCCCCAGGCUCAACCUGGGGCAGCCACCCGAAACUAUCGUGACUUGAGUUUGGUAGGGGAUCACGGAAUUCCUGGUGUAGCGGUGAAAUGCGCAGAUAUCAGGAGGAACACCAGUAGCGAAGGCGGUGAUCUGGGCCAACACUGACGCUGAGGAGCGAAAGCGUGGGGAGCGAACAGGAUUAGAUACCCUAGUAGUCC